CCCGCCCGCCGAGCGCCCGGGGCUCGCUGGACUCCCUGGAAGCGGUGCCGGGAGAAGCAGCGGAUCCCCGGUCAGGCUCAUCAGCCGUUCUCACAUGGAAGUGAACCUUUUCCACCAGCUAUCGAAUAAUCGAAUAAUGUUUUGUUCUUACCUUUGAUGUUGAACUACGAAUCCCCGCGGAUCAAUGGCCAGAAAGUUAGAAGAAUUGGUGAUUUAGGACUUCAGUACUUCUGGAAAAAAAAAAAAAAAAUGCCAAUGGUUUAGCCAGGAUCUUCCCUGUCUGAUUCGUUACUAUUAUUAUAUCUGAUGAUGUGGAUGGAUGGAGAGAUUCAAUCCAAGCCCAUUAAUGAGCUUUUUUAUAAACACCACCGUCUUGAAGAUCUUCAUUUACAUUUUGUCAGUGAUCCUUUCCUUACCAGCGGAGACGUGUGGCGGCAGAGCGAUUACAGGACUUUAGUAAAGCUCCUCUAAGAGCACCGCUGCCUUGUUAAUCGAUUAAUAUUUUAUAAAGGGUAAAUAUUUUAUAAAGUUUUUAGGAAAACUAUCGAUUCUAAAUUAUUAAACUAGUCAGAAGGGCAUUUGAAUAAUGCAUACAAUUAAAUACAUUUAAAUAUAUAUGUAGCGAUUGCUUUAUUUGCAAUGAAUACCCUGCACCUUUCUCUCCCGUUCGGUUUUUUUUCCCCACCACAGCUGGUUUCUUAUUUGCGCGUUCCCUGGAAUAUCGGCAUUGCCAAAUACGUGUUUAUUCCUGUGUUUGUAAACUGAACGUUUACACAAAUUACUCUUUUAAUUUCGAAAUCGAGAGCGGUAAUCAGUUGAGAGUUUCGACGCGGAAGCAAAAGGGCUUGUUCGUAAAACUGAGGGGAAACAGAACCAAGCGCGUGUAAAUUUUGCUGGUUGGUAACUUCUGGUUUGUAAACAUCACUUAUUUUAGACAGAUUUUAUGAUACACGAUGCUUAUUUUUCUUUUACAUAUUUUUUCCGAAUAAAAGCCUUUUAUUUCUGUUUCAAAUUACAAA